GCAAUAACAUUGAAAAGGAUUAGUAAUUAACUUUUCUCAGGUGAAGCGAGGCAGUGGCUGGUGAAAACUGUUCCUGAGACGUUUUUGAACUCACCUUAAAGUUGCAAAGAUGAACGUCAGUAGUCUUUGCCGUCAAACCCGCGUUAAGGAAACAAGUGAGCACAUGUUGUGUUAAUUUGGGUGGUACCGCGGGAGAUAAGCUUCUCGUCCCUUUU
rnacentral:ncRNA from 1 species